AUUGAACGCUGGCGGCAGGCCUAACACAUGCAAGUCGAGCGGAUGCACAGUACUUGCUUCUGGUUACAGCUGCCGACGGGCGAGUGAGUCCGAGGUACCUCCGUAGCUGUGUGUGCUAGCGUCCGGACGCGGGCGCUAAUACCGCAUUCGCCCUGAGGGAGAAAGUGUGGGAUCUUCGGACCUCCCGCUAUCAGAUGAUUCUAUGUCGGAUUAGCUAGUUGGCGGGGUAAAGGCCUACCAAGGCGACGAUCCGUAGCUGGUCUGAGAGGAUGAUCAGUCACACUGGAACUGAGACACGGUCCAGACUCCUACGGGAGGCAGCAGUGGGGAAUAUUGGACAAUGGGCGCAAGCCUGAUCCAGCCAUGCCGCGUGUGUGAAGAAGGUCUUCGGAUUGUAAAGCACUUUUAUUGGGGAGGAAAGGCAGCAAGUUAAUACCUCGCUGUUUUGACGGUACCCAAAGAAUAAGCACCGGCUAACUUCGUG
rnacentral:rRNA from 1 species